UUUUCCUAAUUGGCAGAUAAUUGCAUUAGAAUUAGAAUCUAUUUAAGAUAA
rnacentral:tRNA from 1 species